CUGAAACGGAGGAGGAUUUGAGAUUUGAGUACCGUUUGAGUAUCGUUGACGGAACGGAACACGGAAGAUAAACAAAGUGACAAGAACAAACAAGGAGACGAACUUGGAUACCCUGCCUUCAAGCCACUGAAAUCCUCGUCGUAAUGGACAGUUCAGAAUGAAAAGGCAGGGGGCGAAGAUUUCCUCUUUUUAAAGUGAUCCAAGUCUGGGACGAGUCAGGCUCAGGAUGAGAAAGAAUCUGGCACACACUGCCCAUCACCAGCCUCGGCCACCCCCUGGCCACCCCAAGAAUAAAAGUCUGGCUCCGCCACUGCUUGCGGCAAGUGCAUCUCGAUGACAACGGAGCGAGAGAGCGGAUGCUGUCGAGAACUCAGGUUUUUGUCAGCAGAUGUUCAAGUCCUCAACAUGCGCUUCAGCUGGCCAAAAUGGUCACACGACACAUCCGCACAAACUGAAGCCUCAUCUCGGAAGCGCCCUGAGGACCAACAGAGCUAUGAGCUGAUUCAAGAGCUUUUGUGGCACUUGCAGGAGCGCAAGGCUGGGUCUCUGGAGCUGGAGCGGCGUCUUCCUAGAGGCUACACAUGGUUUCACACCCUAAUCCCCGCAUCAGAGCUAGACCAACUGGAAGUGCUGUGUGCCGGCAUCCCGCCCGUCUGUGCUGCGGCGCUGCUCUCCAGGUUUCACGAGGUGCUUGCGGCCAGCGAAGUGAUGCCCUGGGAGCUGGUCUCAGUCUUCAAGAUGGUGUUGAGAGACGUCAAGCAAAGGCAAUGUGACAAAGACCACAAUCUUUCAGAAAAGGCAAAGAUCCUCCCGACAAUGGCAUUUUGGACAAGCAGCAACAAAUCGGAGCAGGGUGUUGUGGAUGCGAGCAGUAGCGAUAAAAAGUCUAGAGAGGAGAUCCCGACUGUGUCUGGAUAUGUAGAUAGGGUGACGCGGUAUACCACUUCGUUUACAGGAAGAAUAGAAUGGGAUCUUCCAUAUUACUAUCCAGUUCCCACGAGGCCAAUGGAGUCAUGGAAUACAAAGAGAGGACACUCCUCUCAAUGAAUCUUUUCUCUCGAUUCAUUUCUUCUACAUCGAAAAUAUCUAUGCACAAUGUUUCCUCAAGUUAAGAAAUUAAGUGGUUCCAGAGUGGCUUUCGUGAUAAUCACGAUUUUUUUCCAUAUAAUGAAUCGAGUUUCACACGUAAAUCGCCUAAUUUGUUCCAAGCCAUACCAAAACACCUCGGAUUACCCGGCUUUAUUUGUAAUGCUUUGUCGUCCCCUAGUGGUGCUUAAGUGUAACUAGUUAAUUAAACUCAUUCUAUAGACGUAUCACAUGACUACUUGAGCUCAUAGCAAACGCACAGCGCUAAAAGAUGAGCUAACUUCAGCAGCCAUUUCAUCAUGCCGUUUGUACCAUGAUAAAGUAUCGCUUCUAAGUUAUGUUCUUCUUUUGCUUCCCAUACAUGAGCGUUGUGGCGUGUAUAUUUCCUCUGUUUACAUUCAUAGUCAAACGUGGUUAUAUUAUUGCAUUGCUGCGAGUGGGAAUUAUCUAUUAUAGUAGAUAUUAGUUUUCGUAUGAUGAAUCAUUAUUCGUAAUCAGUGUUGUUAAUAACGACGUUAAGAGUAUAACUGCGUCACUAAAGGCGUUAUUUUAUUCAGUAGUGAGUAAUCUAAUUACUUUUCUUGUCUUGGCAAACCUGUUACCGUUACUGAACUCGAAUCGAUCUUUAAAUGAUGAAACAGUUCUAAAACAUUCACAUGUCAAAAGUAGACAGAAGGGAACUAAUGCAAUUACGGGAGCAAUUUUAACAACUUUAUCGGUUGAUUCACAACAUUGAAUGACUUCCAAACAUAGAAAAGGUUACAAUCUAGUUAUCACAAUAUCCGCAAUACCCCUGUAUCUAGUUAAGUAUUGCUGAGCCAGUUCAUGGAUGCGCACCCUACGCUGAUAUUUUUCUAUCAUUUGCAUCUUCAUUUCACUGGUAAGCGUUACCUUAUUUCUUGUUUCACCACCUGUACAAACCUGUGUUGAUUUCUGGCACAAGAAAAUCCGCCGUGCAUCUGUCUGCGGCGCUGUCAUGUAGUCGUAUUUCGAGCAUGUCGUCGAAUUUAGAAACAAAUAGCGAGUCAAUUUUUACGUCGGAUGUUGAAAAGAUCGUGUCAAAGCAAUCGUAUUUCAAGCAUGUCGUCGAAUAUAGAAAGAAAUAGCGAGUCAAUUUUUUACGUCGGAUGUUGAAAAGAUCGUGUCGAAGCGAUCAUAUGUCGAGGUACCACUGUAGUUUCAAACAAAUUUUAGGGCUGCAGGUAUCGAAUAGUUUAGUAAUCGAGUAAUCGACUGAAAAUUCUAUCGAUUAAUCGAGUAAUCGGAUAAAACAAAUAUAUUUUUAGAUGAAGAGCAAUUAUAAAUAUACAUGAGAAAACAAGACAUUUCAUCUAAUCUUGAACCAUUUUCAGUCAAUCAAUGUCUUUAUUUUCGAUGUAUAUUGUUGAAAACAGCCAACAAUUGCAUCUCAGAUGUAACUACAAUAAUAAAAAGACUAAUUCGCUGCUUUCACUCAAAAAACUUUGAGCUCUUAUUUAAAAAAAACAAAAAAUCUAUACAUAUAUAUAUAUAUACACAUAUAUCUUAUCUAAAAAUGCUGUUAUGCUUGAUAACACACAUCACUUAAAAGUUAGGAUUUUUCCCACAUGUUUCAAUUGAAUUUCUAUUUGUGUCAAGCCAUUUUUAAGUUCUAGUUAAGUUUUAAGUUAGUGUAAACUUUAAGUCCUGAUAGGACUUUUGAGUUUUUUAAGUGUUGUAAAUGUAUGAUACAGGCUGUAUUGGGGCACAUUAGGGACCAGUGCUACUUGGUGUUUUAUCCAGCAACGACUACUGAGCUAAAAAUUGAUAGUUAGCAUUAUUAAGUUUUUAAUUUACACUCUCAUCAUCACUCCACAAUGCUAUGUUAUGUUAAAGCCUGUAUGUAAGACACGUUAGCCACGCAUCGACAGUGGUCAUAAUUAAUAGAAAUCUAGCCCUCCGCAGGGCUAACGUUACGUGAGCUAGUAGUGACACUAACUUUAAUCUUAUCUAUUAGCGCUUAGCGCUCUUUAUUAGCGCUUAGCGUUCUACUGCUUUAAGAUGGCGGCUGUUUACUAACGCUGCCCAGACGCGGCCGAGUCAGUCAUUUUGCAUCUAGUUCAACAUACAUGGGAUCUCUAUGGCUACGUUCAUACUACAGGUCUUAAUGCACGAAUCCGAUUUUUUCAUGUUUUUCUGACUCGAGUGAGGCAUUAACUUGACGGUCUGAACGUGACAAGUCGCAUAGAACUGGACCAUUUCAAAUCCGAUCUGGGUCACUUUCGUAUGUGGUUCAAAUCCGAUCUGGGCCACAUUUUUCCAGACUGUCGCGGCGGUCUGUACUGUCCUGUCUCUCAAAUCGGAAUUCAUGCAGCAAUUACGUCAUCAAAAAGCGAUAGAGACGCUACAGUACCUGUGCAGCUGUGCGUCAUUAGCGCCUAGCUUGCCUUGAACACGGCUUUUUAGGAAGGGUCGGACUUGACAAGUCAUAAAACAAAUAAAAAUGUGUUGAGGAUAAGCCUGAGAAUGAUCGGUUUUCUGUCUGCUCCAUAUACCUGUAAGCAAUAUUUCAACAUUGCUUACACGGCCGAGAGUCGGGGCAAACUGCCCGUAUGUGCGUGUGACAUGCACGGACAGUGCGUGCAUGCUAUCGUUCCAUAUACUUUGAAUAUAAGCCUAAACUGGGAUUAUUUAUAUGAUAUAUUAUCUGUGUCCUCUUUUUAAAAAGCAAAAUAUGAUAUCCCUGGAAUGACGGAUGACAGCCAGCAUGUGUUGUCAUUUGCUUUGAUGCUUCUGCGCAUGCGGGUCGUCUUGCUCAGCGCUUGUCAGACUGCGACUUAGUGCGCAUGCGUAAUACUUGAAUGGUCUCAAUGGACAAAGGCAGUCUGAACGGGCACGCCAAAAAAACAGAUAUGACAAAAAAUCGGAUUCGUGCAUUAAGACCUGUAGUAUGAACGUAGCCUUUGAGACGCAUCAGACGCUACCUGCUACCAACGUAGCAUCGUGCGGACUAGUAUUUAGCAACGUCGGCGUCAUUUGCAGCGGCUGUCGGCUCCACUCCAAGAUCACCACCCCAUUGGGAAGAAACUAAAUCACGACCCCCAAAUGGUAUUCUUCCCAUGCAGAUACAGGGAUGUCACACAGAUCCAAAUGAAAACAUCGAACACAGUAAAACCCACGUGGCAGACAGGACCAAUGGUGACAAUAUAAGACCAUGCCGAGCUUCAUGGACGGUUCAAACUCAUCCUGCCCAGGAACGGCUGGUAUGUUUUUAUGUCUGAGACAAAUGUUGUGCUCAGUGGAAAUCUGGAUAGGCUUAUUAUUCCUUAUAUUAGUUAACAAUUGGACAUAAUUGAUUAUUUACUCUUUGUUUAUUUAACCAAUCAACAUUCUCAUUAGCUUAUGCAAAUCUUGAAUAUAAAGAGGCCAGAAAUGGUGUUGAUUGUCUAAAAAAAGAAAGUUUGAUUGACACGUGCUGACUUUUGGAACGUUGGCCUGAACAAUGAAAUGGAAUCAACUGUGAAUUUUGAGGAUUUAGUUUCUCUAAAGAACAUAAUGUCACUUGUACAAUUAAGUAAAAUGUAACUUUUUGUGUUUGUUUUUUGCAGAUAUGAAAUGCAUAUUUAUAACUUGUCUAACAAGUAGCUCAUUCAAAGGUAUAAAAAAGUAUUUUUUGGCGUGUGUAGGGUAUUUUAACUAUGUAGCCUACAGAAUGCUUGUAUGGGCUCAUGUAGGUGUCUGCGUACGUUUGUAUUUAUAUAACAUAUGUCCGUGUGUAUAGAUUAUGUUUUUUUCAGGGAAGGACCAUAUUUGUGGCUGACCCCUAUGUUGUUGCAACAUGGUGAAAGCCUACAGGAUGUGACCCACACAUGCAUUUGCCUGUAAGGCUGAUUAGUAACAACUACAACUUGGAGCAUUGGUUCAUUUUCAAAGAACAGUCAAAUCAUAACAAAUUAAAUGAUCCAAAUUCCAAUUAUUUGUGGGAAGAAAAACAGAUCCAAUCAUGAGAUCAGGGAACAAUUGUUAUCUCUAAUGAAAUUCAGUAUCCAUUCAUAUUGGCAUGGCGUUUCCAUGAUGAUCCAGAAUGGCCUUGUUUGGUUUUGAAGGUAUGUUCCAGUCGAUCCUUUUAUGUUGCCCCUUCAAUUAAAGCAGAAUUGCACUCCAGAUGAUUCAUCCAAUCAUUUGAAGCAAAUUUCUAAAAUGCCACUCUAAAAUUGCGAAUGUUUUGUUUCAAGGGCGUUGGCCCGGUCUCAACAUUGGUAGGGACGAAUAUAAUGCAAGUAAGGUUGCUCAAAAGUUGGUGGGGACAACUUUAGCAUCCUGAAAAGUUGGUCGUGUUAUGUCCCUACCGUCCCUAUGCAAACCUACGCCCUUGUUUUGUUUGCAUGAAUCAUUUAAACCUGACUGGUUGGUGUUCUUAUGCAUGGAAACACGUUUGUAAUUGUUUAACUACUGUAUUUAAUAUGAACCUAUAUUUUCAAUUGCAGAAAACGUUGACAGUCAAUCAACAGGGGGACAUGGAAAGAGAGGAUUGGAAGUGAAAUAGAGGGUUUUCCGGGACAGCCAUAGGGGAAGGACUGUGGCAUCUUCAUGUUGAUGACUGAUAUGCCAACUCUGAGGAAGUGGUGGUGUAUAUUGCUAGCGGACAAUUUCAAACUUGGGUGCAUGCCACAGGAAAGAGUUUGCCCAUUGGACAGAUGAGGCAAAAGCAUUACUGCAGGGUGAAGUGCCACCAGUCUAUCAGUUACAGAAGUGAAAUUCGAAUAUAAUUGCUGAGGAAGAGGUGCAACCACAGCUCCUUCAAGUUAGUGGUGGCCCACUCCAAAAAGAUAUGGCGGGAAAAAAUGUUUUGGUAAAAGGAUUGUGCAAGACAGCACAAAAGCCUCGGGCAGGGAUAGGGGG